CUGAGAGGAUGACCAGCCACACUGGAACUGAGACACGGUCCAGACUCCUACGGGAGGCAGCAGUGGGGAAUAUUGCACAAUGGGCGCAAGCCUGAUGCAGCCAUGCCGCGUGUAUGAAGAAGGCCUUCGGGUUGUAAAGUACUUUCAGCGGGGAGGAAGGGAGUAAAGUUAAUACCUUUGCUCAUUGACGUUACCCGCAGAAGAAGCACCGGCUAACUCCGUGCCAGCAGCCGCGGUAAUACGGAGGGUGCAAGCGUUAAUCGGAAUUACUGGGCGUAAAGCGCACGCAGGCGGUUUGUUAAGUCAGAUGUGAAAUCCCCGGGCUCAACCUGGGAACUGCAUCUGAUACUGGCAAGCUUGAGUCUCGUAGAGGGGGGUAGAAUUCCAGGUGUAGCGGUGAAAUGCGU
rnacentral:rRNA from 1 species